CAGGAUGAACGCUAGCUACAGGCUUAACACAUGCAAGUCGAGGGGCAGCGGGAUUGAAGCUUGCUUCAAUUGCCGGCGACCGGCGCACGGGUGAGUAACGCGUAUCCAACCUUCCGUACACUCAGGGAUAGCCUUUCGAAAGAAAGAUUAAUACCUGAUGGUAUGAUGAGAUUGCAUGAUAGCAUCAUUAAAGAUUUAUCGGUGUACGAUGGGGAUGCGUUCCAUUAGGUAGUAGGCGGGGUAACGGCCCACCUAGCCAACGAUGGAUAGGGGUUCUGAGAGGAAGGUCCCCCACAUUGGAACUGAGACACGGUCCAAACUCCUACGGGAGGCAGCAGUGAGGAAUAUUGGUCAAUGGACGAGAGUCUGAACCAGCCAAGUAGCGUGAAGGAUGAAGGUCUUACGGAUUGUAAACUUCUUUUAUAUGGGAAUAAACCCUCCCACGUGUGGGAGCUUGUAUGUACCUUAUGAAUAAGCAUCGGCUAACUCCGUGCCAGCAGCCGCGGUAAUACGGAGGAUGCGAGCGUUAUCCGGAUUUAUUGGGUUUAAAGGGAGCGCAGACGGGUCGUUAAGUCAGCUGUGAAAGUUUGGGGCUCAACCUUAAAAUUGCAGUUGAUACUGGCGUCCUUGAGUGCGGUUGAGGUGUGCGGAAUUCGUGGUGUAGCGGUGAAAUGCUUAGAUAUCACGAAGAACUCCGAUUGCGAAGGCAGCACACUAAUCCGUAACUGACGUUCAUGCUCGAAAGUGUGGGUAUCAAACAGGAUUAGAUACCCUGGUAGUCCACACGGUAGACGAUGGAUACUCGCUGUUGGCGAUAUACUGUCAGCGGCUUAGCGAAAGCGUUAAGUAUCCCACCUGGGGAGUACGCCGGCAACGGUGCAA
rnacentral:rRNA from 1 species